UGAGUCUAGUUAAGAACUCAUUUGAUGCCCAGGGCCUGCCCCCCACUGAACACCUCUCUUCAUACAGAGCAGGAUUAGUUUUACUAAGUACAAGAGCUCAGACCCAUGGACUUCCUGGUGGCUCCUUUUACAGGGUAACAGUGCUAAGAUUGCUGCACUCUGGUUUUACUGGGAUUAAUUCCUUGAGUUUGGUUUAUUUUAAUAACU